rnacentral:rRNA from 1 species
GAUGAACGCUGGCGGCGUGCCUAAUACAUGCAAGUCGAGCGGACAGACGAGGAGCUUGCUCCUCUGACGUUAGCGGCGGACGGGUGAGUAACACGUGGAUAACCUACCUAUAAGACUGGGAUAACUUCGGGAAACCGGAGCUAAUACCGGAUAAUAUAUUGAACCGCAUGGUUCAAUAGUGAAAGACGGUUUUGCUGUCACUUAUAGAUGGAUCCGCGCCGCAUUAGCUGGUUGGUAAGGUAACGGCUUACCAAGGCAACGAUGCGUAGCCGACCUGAGAGAGUGAUCGGCCACACUGGAGCUGAGACACGGACCAGACUCCUACGGGAGGCAGCAGUAGGGAAUGUUCCGCAAUGGGCGAAAGCAUGACGGAGCAACGCCGCGUGAGUGAUGAAGGUCUUCGGAUCGUAAAACUCUGUUAUUAGGGAAGAACAAAUGUGUAAGGAGCUGUGCACGUAUUGACGGUACCUAAUCAGAAAGCCACGGCUAACUACGUG